UAUUUAAACAGAUGGAAAAAACUAUCGCAGAACACAGUGUCACGUAGCAACUGGUCUUUACGGUCGUUUGAAUCAACAGGUCAGUUUGGGGUACAAAGCAGGGUUCAGUUUUUACUGACUUCCCAUCUGACAGUUUAAAUGUUUAUGAUCGUCUGAAACAACAGGUCAGUUUGGGGUACAAAGGAGGAUUCAGUUUUUAUGGGAGCUUGAGAAUGUCGUAUGAAUAGCAACUGGCCACCCAUUUGACAGUUUAAAUGUUUACGAUCGUCUGAAACAACUUCCAUACCUCACGAAAACAUAUUUAAACAGAUGGAGAACUAGAGCAGAACACAGUGUAACCGCGAUUUGCAAAAUGAAAGUCGAACAUCGAGUUGAAAUUCACCCACCACCAAGGGAUCUCCUAACAGAGUCUCCAAUCCUUUUGUCCGAUGACGACGAAGUGAAAGACGAAGAACUUUGUUUGAUCGAUCUUACAAAGUUGGAAGAUGAUUAUCGAGGUGUGUUUAAACCUUCGAAUUAUUUAAUAUUGUGUGUAUUCAUUAUUUUGUUUUAUAGAGGAUUCGCCGGAAGAGACCAACGCGAUCGUUUUAACACAAUCGC